AUUGAACGCUGGCGGCAGGCUUAACACAUGCAAGUCGAGCGGAGAUGAGGUGCUUGCACCUUAUCUUAGCGGCGGACGGGUGAGUAAUGCUUAGGAAUCUGCCUAUUAGUGGGGGACAACAUUCCGAGAGGAAUGCUAAUACCGCAUACGUCCUACGGGAGAAAGCAGGGGAUCUUCGGACCUUGCGCUAAUAGAUGAGCAUAAGUCGGCUUAGCUAGUUGGUGGGGUUAAGGCCUACCAAGGCGACGAUCUCUAGCGGGUCUGAGAGGAUGAGCCGGCACACUGGGACGGAGACACGGCCGAGAGACAUACGGGAGGCAGCAGUGGGGAAUAUUGGACAAUGGGGGGAACCCUGAUCCAGGCAUGCCGCGUGUGUGAAGAAGGCCUUAUGGGUGUAAAGCACUUUAAGCGAGGAGGAAGCUACUGAGACUAAUACUCUUGGAUAGUGGACGUUACUCGAAGAAUAACCACCGGCUAACUCUGUGCCAGCCGCCGCAGUAAUAC
rnacentral:rRNA from 1 species